AUUAUGAAGAUACCCUAGGGGUCACAGCAGGAGGUGUCAAAAUCUAUGAGGGAACCAGAAGACUGAGGGGGAAUCCUUCACUCCAUCGUCAGACUGGCUAAGAAGAAGCUGGAUAUCCUUGAAAGCUCUGGAGCCAUCCAAUCUUACAAGAAACAGAAAGCUGAGAUGCCCUGGAAGGAAACAAAGUGCCUUGCUGGUGGAAGAAUUGACACAGCUUUGUUUAAAAUAAGAACUGAAAUUCAUUGUGCUUGGGAUCGCUUUCAAAUUCAGUUAAACACUAAAUGACAUAAACUUCUGCAGAAUUUGCUAAUUGAAGGAUGUAAUCAUUUGUUCUGUCCACUUUCAGGGAACAAUUCUAUUUAGCAAAGCCUCAAAUUUAAUUCAGACUUCCAACGUGGCUAUAAUCUAAACCCACUGGGUUUUGUAGGUAGAAAAUAUCAGAAUUAACCACAUUUAGUCACAUAUAAGAAACAUCUGCAGAGGGGUGGGGUUUUUUAAGUUGCUUUUUUUGGUAUCAAGGGUUUAAAAAGAUUAUGUUUGCUUCUUCUCAGAACAUAAGGAUCCCUAAUUUUUCUGUCAUUAUGAUGGCAGCUGGAACUACGAUAACACUCAACAGCAAAAGGUCUAUGCCUGAGCUAUGAUGGAAGACCCAUAGGAAGUGAAAUAUAGCCCUUUUGUCUGCUCCAUCCAUUCAGUCCAUGUGAACUUGGCAAAGGAAAAGGAGACCUUUCUUGGCAGUGUCUAAUAAUGAUGGAAGGCUUUACACUGAGCUGUUUAUUAAAUAGUGUCUAAUAGAUGAGGCAUUGGAAGAAGAUAAGACACAUUUUUUCUGAUUACGGCUAAUUUUUAUUCUGUCCUCCUCACCACCAUUUCCCAAUGGGAAAAAUGUUUAAGUAAGAGUUUCAGCAGACAAUGUUUAAGAAUGUAGUGAUAUUAACCUUAAAGUUGACCUUUAAAAUUGUGAUUAAUUGACACUGGUGCUGUUUUGCUAGGCUACCAUAUCUGGGCCACAGAGCCUUGGACAACCUUAGAUGACUGCAAAAUGUUAAUAUCUACUAUCAUUUAAUGGCAAUCUACAUUUCUGCAGAUUAGAUAUGAUCGUUCUAGUCUAAUUGAUACCUUAUUUAGCAACUAGAUAUGAGCAACAAAGAAGUCCCUUUUCAUAUUUCAAUGUCUUGAUUUAGAAUUAGCUUUCUAUCCCAGAUAUUACCCUAAAUAUAUAAAGAAGCAGGAACAAUACAGCACAUAGAAGCAAACAAUAGAGUUAAAAACUUAACUACCACCACAACACAAUUCUGUCCACCAUUCCUUUCCUCUUCCUCUUCAGGAGAAUAUAAACAUCUAUGAGAGAUUGUUAAUCUACUCCUAGAGCCAAAGAAUCAACUGAUUGUGUAAUGUCUAGAGUGGCAGUAUUAAUCUAAGAAUGAUAGAUAAAGAGUUUAGUGAAAAUGAAUGUGGGACUUUGAUAUGUUGUUUAAAGAACUGGUAAAGUUGUAAGAAUGAAGAAAUGUAUUUUCUAUUAAGACAAUAUAGGUAGUCCUUGAAUUACAGAGGUUUGUUUAGUGACUGUUCAAAGUUUCAAUGGCACUAAAAAAAGUG